AAGAACUGGGAUGUGCGGGAACAAGGAAGACUGGGCAAGGUUUGGGGUUGGGCGGGCCUGAGGCCCACUCUGCUUAGGUUAAAACGGGAGUGGGCCAGGCCCAUAGAUUCCGAGGUCAUCGGUUCUCUCCCCACCCUAGAAGUAAUCGCCACGGGGUCGGAGGUUGAGGUCAGUCCCCUUUUGCUGUGUCCUUUGGAAAUACUGGACCUAGGGACGGACAGAAAUUGCUCAUCCCCAAAUUUUUGGUUAAUCCUCUUUACAGUCCUUCAAGGUACUUAUCAUUUCCUCUUUUUUGGACUGAAGAGGCCAUGAGAAGUGCCAGGAAUCGAAGGUGGUUUCUUUCUUUCUUUCUUUUUUUUUUUUGAAGCCUGUGUCUAUAAUCUAGUAAUUGAAUACCCCCCUUUCCAAGCUCCUAGAGGAAACUUAAGGAAAGGAAACAGGCCUCCACGGCCCCUCGCUCCCAUGACGGCUCUCACCAUUAUAUACAUUUUGACUCUUAAACACAGUUCUUUAAAAUGCCUGUCACCUCCACGCCCUCCCUUUCAUUCAUUCUUUCAACAAAUAUUUAUUGACCAGGCUGUGUGCUGAUUGUGGGAGACCCAGCAAGAACAAGACGGAGCGGAGGGCGCUUGCUGUCUUGGAGCUCACAGUAUGGUAGGAGAAAAAAAACAAAAGUGAAUACGCCUUUGUCAUCUCUCCUUUACCCUGACCCACCUUAAUGAUAGACUUCUAACUCAUCACCUUCCCCUCAGCCCUGCCCCCAUCAACUGCCAAAGAGAUCUUUUUAAAAUGCUAUUCUAAUCAUGUUCCUUUCUUGCUUAAAUCCUUCGGUGAUUACUCAGACCUAGAAGACAAUUGGUAAGCCCCUUGAGUGCAACAAUCAAGGUUCUCCGGACUUGGCGUUACCCUGCACCCUUUCCCUGCUCUUUUCCCCUCCAUCAUAAAACCCCAAUUCAAUUGGAUGAUUCCUUCUCCUCCCAAGAUAGGGUCCAGUAUUUCUAAAUCAUUUGUGUUAGUUGCCAAGUUUUUAAAGACGGUGUGUGAACAAAAACCUGCAUCUCUGCCUGGUCUGGCAACAUUGCUGUGUGGCAACAGUUGGCUGAAUCCAGGAGUGUGGCUGCCUACUCUAGGUCGGGCAUGGACUUUUCAAAGUGCCAGGGUCCCCUCCUCACCAAGCCUACUUUCCUCAUUCAUGUUGUCUGUCAUAUAGGCAGGCGUUGGUGCUAGUCACCCCUGUGCUAUACCGCCUUUUAACUUGAGCAAGCUUGAACGUUGUGUAAUGUAAACAGCACGAAUGUGACAUCAAAACCGCAGGAUGGCUUGAACCCCAGAAAAGUUUCCCAGUGCAAAAACUUCCCCAUGGGGAUCUAUCUUUGGCAAACCAAAGGUCAGUAAUCCAGAGACUGCUGAGGUUGAAAUAAGUCUUCAUGUAAUAUGACUGUGCCUUAUGCCCCCAUCCAGAAAAUAGCCUAGUGGGUCACAGGGCUCAUGAUGAUUACACCACAGAUGACAUCAUCAGCGCAUUGAAGGAACAGAAGUGCCCUUUGCCAGGCAUCCCUGGGUGCCUGCUAACGGGUUGCAUGGAUAAGCUGCUUUCACCAUCUCUGCAUUCCAGGCCAACGGUCAACAAACCACAGCUAUUAACCGACAGAGACACAAAGAAACAUACAAUGCGACAGAUGCAGCCAUAGGAAUAUAUAUGCCCGGGCUGUAUCUCUGGACACAGGUGGAAGAAGCAACCAGAGUAGGCUAAUCUCAUGGCAGAGGGGAAGAAAGGAAUGGUGGAAUCUCUAAAAGCUUCUGCUUGCAAGUUUCAUGCCACUUUCCCUCACAUUUCUUUGGCUGACCUCACCCAGAUGACAGAGGGCCAAGGAGCCUGUUGAUGUAGCCCUUGCAGGCCUGCCUCCUGGGACACAGAGGAGGUGGAGAGGAAAGAGCCAAUCUGGAGGGGCACCACUCUCCCGCCCACAGUCCUGGAAAUGACUUACUUAUUUGCCAAUACCUUAAGAAAAAAAAUAUCACUUAAGUGCAUUUUAAAUUUGCAUUGCCCUGAUUAAGAAGCAAGGACUUCUGCUGAUAAUGUAGGGACACAGAUUGCCUCUUCUUCCCAGCGCUCAGUGGUGGCAAGAUGUAAAGCCAGAUACUGGUUCAGCCAUUGUGUCAUCAUAUUGGGGCCAGUGGAGAGGAACAGCCAAGAAGUGGAUCUGGUGGCAUCUGUUGAGUCCUGGAUCAAGCCUUAUCUGAGGCUACUCAUGACUGUUGGGUAACAUGAGCCAAUGAAUUCCCUUUUGCUUCAGACACUUUUGUUGGUAGUGUGUGUGUGUGUGUGUGUGUGUGUGUGUGUGUGUGUGUGUGUGUGUGUUUAUGU